rnacentral:rRNA from 1 species
UACGAAGGGUGCAAGCGUUAAUCGGGAUUACUGGGCGUAAAGGGUGCGUAGGCGGUUCGUUAAGUCUGUCGUGAAAUCCCCGGGCUCAACCUGGGAAUGGCAAUGGAUACUGGCGAGCUAGAGUGUGUCAGAGGAUGGUGGAAUUCCCGGUGUAGCGGUGAAAUGCGUAGAGAUCGGGAGGAACAUCAGUGGCGAAGGCGGCCAUCUGGGACAACACUGACGCUGAAGCACGAAAGCGUGGGGAGCAAACAGG